rnacentral:rRNA from 1 species
CAAAUCAGGUAGGACUACCCGCUGAACUUAAGCAUNUCAAUA